rnacentral:lncRNA from 1 species
CUUUUGUUACACAAUAGCCCUCUCAACAAUACACCAUUUAAUUUCGGUUUAUCAGCUCAGGUACAGAUAAUUUUUGCCUACCCUUUUGAAUGUCCGUUUGAGCUCAAAUUUGACAAUCAGGCUCGGUUUUACUUAACUUAACGAAAUAAAUUUUAAUCUUUCAGUUUCGACCCUAUUUGGUCACCGAAAGCUCUAGCAAACUGUAAUCUCUAGCAGAUAGCAGUCGGAUUUUAUUUUCCACUUUCCGGGUGUUAGAAUGGCAUAAAACUUUAAAUCUAGCCUCAUAAAAAUAAUUCUGACAUAUUCUCCAAUUUUCAUAAUUUUCUGACACUGUGCAUUUUCUGCUAAAAUAUCAGCCCCGUCUCUCACAGAAAAUUCUAAAUCUUCUGUUUUCAUUCCGAUUCCAGCACAAGUCGUUUUCGACUUAUAUUUUACUUCUUAAUCAGCAUGAUUUACACUAUUCAAAAUUAUAGUAGCAAAAUUU